CAAAUACUCCCUCCGUCCGGAAAUACUUGUCGUAGGAAUGGAUGCAUUUAGGUGUAUUUUAGUUUUAGAUGCAUUCAUUUAUAUUCAUUUUCCAACAAGUAUUUCCGGUCGGAGGGAGUAUAUA
rfam:Triticum aestivum genome assembly, contig: Triticum_aestivum_CS42_TGACv1_scaffold_405445_5BL